CCUACGGGCGGCAGCAGUAGGGAAUCUUCCACAAUGGACGAAAGUCUGAUGGAGCAACGCCGCGUGCGUGAAGAAGGGUUUCGGCUCGUAAAGCUCUGUUGGUAGUGAAGAAAGAUAGAGGUAGUAACUGGCCUUUAUUUGACGGUAAUUACUUAGAAAGUCACGGCUAACUACGUGCCAGCAGCCGCGGUAAUACGUAGGGGGCAAGCGUUGUCCGGAUUUAUUGGGGGUAAAGCGAGUGCAGGCGGUUCAAUAAGUCUGAUGUGAAAGCCUUCGGCUCAACCGGAGGAUUGCAUCAGAAACUGUUGAACUAGAGUGCAGUAGAGGAGAGUGGAAUGCAAUGUGUAGCGGUGGAAUGCGUAGAUAUAAGGAAGAACACCAGUGGCGAAGGCAGCUCUCUGGUCUGCAACUGACGCUGAGGCUCGAAAGCGUGGGGAGCGAACAGGAUUAGAUACCCCAGUAGUC
rnacentral:rRNA from 1 species